CAACAUUUUCCACUAUUGUGAGUCAAAUCACUUUAAUGGAAGGAGCAACAUUCUGUAAUAACAGAGGGAAACAGGAUUUAGCUACACAAUAUGGCAUUCAUGAGUAAGUUCCAGCCUAUUCCCUCCCCUUUCUUCUCAGAUGCUCAUAACUUUCUCACAAUAAAUUUGAGGGGCUGGAACUAUCCAUGCUUGGAUUCAACUGAAAGCAUCUGGAAGACUGGAAGCAUUGAAACAAUUUUC